rnacentral:rRNA from 1 species
UACGAAGGGGGCUAGCGUUGCUCGGAAUCACUGGGCGUAAAGGGUGCGUAGGCGGGUUUUUAAGUCAGGGGUGAAAUCCUGGAGCUCAACUCCAGAACUGCCUUUGAUACUGAGAAUCUUGAGUACGGGAGAGGUGAGUGGAACUGCGAGUGUAGAGGUGAAAUUCGUAGAUAUUCGCAAGAACACCAGUGGGCGAAGGCGGCUCACUGGCCCGUAACUGACGCUGAGGCACGAAAGCGUGGGGAGCAAACAGG